rnacentral:lncRNA from 1 species
GCUUCAUCCCACUUUUCUGUAAAGUUUGACAUACGCAUGAAGUAAAGAGUUUGUGGAUUUAGACCUACUUGAGGCUUUGGAUUCAAAAUCUUUAAAAUUUGAUCCCUGUUCCACUAUGUAUUAGACAAAGAUCUAAUCUUUAUUAGGUUGUUAUAGAAAAUUUUUAAAUGCACUGUGGCUAUCCGCUGUGUUUUUGAUAGG